rnacentral:rRNA from 1 species
CCUACGGGUGGCUGCAGUCGAGAAUCAUUCACAAUGGGGGAAACCCUGAUGGUGCGACGCCGCGUGGGGGAAUGAAGGUCUUCGGAUUGUAAACCCCUGUCAUGUGGGAGCAAAUUAAAAAGAUAGUACCACAAGAGGAAGAGACGGCUAACUCUGUGCCAGCAGCCGCGGUAAGACAGAGGUCUCAAGCGUUGUUCGGAAUCACUGGGCGUAAAGCGUGCGUAGGCUGUUUCGUAAGUAGUGUGUGAAAGGCGCGGGCUCAACCCGCGGACGGCACAUGAUACUGCGAGACUAGAGUAAGGGAGGGGGAAGCGGAAUUCUUGGUGUAGCAGUGAAAUGCGUAGAUAUCGAGAGGAACACUCGUGGCGAAGGCGGGUUCCUGGACAUUAACUGACGCUGAGGCGCGAAGGCCAGGGGAGCGAAAGGGAUUAGAUACCCUUGUAGUC